rnacentral:tRNA from 1 species
GCCUUGGUAGUGUAAUGGUUAGCAUAGAGGACUGUGGAUCCUCAGGACCGGGUUCGAUUCCCGGCUUAGGCC